rnacentral:rRNA from 1 species
GCAACUCGCCUGCAUGAAGUCGGAAUUGCUAGUAAUCGCAGAUCAGCAUGCUGCGGUGAAUACGUUCCCGGGCCUUGUACACACCGCCCGUCACACCAUGGGAGUCGGUAACACCCGAAGUCAGGAGCCCUGACCUUUUUUAGGAGGGCACUGCCGAAGGUGGGAUUGAUGACUGGGGUGAAGUCGUAACAAGGUAGC